rnacentral:lncRNA from 1 species
UUAAGAUUCCCAAGACCUAAUCCAUCAUAAACCACUAUCCAAUAUUAGAAACAAAAUUGUCCUUUACACAGUAAUUAGGGCUUAUUCUCUUUGUACACUUAUAUACUGUGAAGUCAAUUGAAAACAACUUCAAACAAUCAAAAGACACAAACUUUGUAUCCUCUUUAUGUGCCUAAGUUAAGGGCUACAACCCACUGAUAAGACCCUCAUGUCAAUUACAACAACUUCAAUCAAUUCCCACAAAAAUUAAAUCGGAGCAACUUAACAAU